rnacentral:snRNA from 1 species
AUCACUUCUUGGCCUUCUGGCUAAGAUCAAGUGUAGUAUCUGUUCUUAUCAGUUUAAUAUCCAAUACUAAGUCUUGUUAGUUUUGCUCCAAAAUAUGUCUAAUUUCUGUCCAGUUUAU